GGGGAUGUAGCUCAGGGGUAGAGCAUCUGCCUUGCACGCAGAGGGUCGGGGGUUCGAUUCCCUUCGUCUCCACCA
rnacentral:tRNA from 1 species